CAGCUCUCUUUAGAGCCUUUAGGUACUGGAGGGUGCUCCACGGUCUCUCUGCAGCCUUCCCCUCUCCAAGCUGAGCAGCUCCAGUGAGGGGGUGCUGGUUGUGUACAGGACACCAUGGACUAGAUGUUCCCUCCACUCCUGCCCCAGGACUCACCUCGCAGCUGGCACCAGCCACUGCUACGUUUGCCCAGCAGAUGUGUCCAGGGCAGACGUGUUCCCAUCUCCAGAGGCAGCAGAACCACUGGCACUUCCAGCAUGGACAUUUUGAUUCCUCUGUGGCCACAGCCCUGCUCACAUACUCCUGCAGGAGUCAACAGCUCCAGAGCUCACAGAGAACUCCUUCUCUGACCUCCUCCUUCUCACACGGCUGGGAAAAGAAAACCAGCCUGUCAUGGCAGUGAGAAACCUUGGCCUUGCUACCUGAGGAAAGUCUGUAAAAGGUUUGCAUCGAGUGUUUUCUCCUUCUUUAGCUGCUCAAUCCAGAUGACAAAACCUCAAAUUAUCAGUUUCUCACAUUGUGGAUCCUAGAUGCUAGAAGGUCUGUACACAGAACUGAGCAUUUUCCUAUAAAAACCCCUUAACUUACAUUUUGCCUGCUUGGUCCAGUAAUCAGCAAAUUUGUUUUCAGGUUUACACUCAGGUAUUCUGCAGGAUAAUGCUGUUUGCUGUUCUUCCACGGGUUCUGCCCCUCUGUUAAACACAGUGAUGGGGAGAACUCUUUGCUGUGAGAUGAGGAGCUACAAAGCCACGGGGGCAAAGUAAAAUCGGAAUUGCUCAGGUGUUGUGGGGAGAAAGAGAAGCAGCUGGAGCAAGGGAAAGCUGUAGUUCCAAAACCACACCUCUGAGCUGCUGGAUGUCAUCCAGGGGGUGUCCUCUGGGGAACAGGGAUACAAAUAAGCAGUGCCCAAGGCAGACACACCUGGGCAGUGCAUCCAGGGAGCUCGGGUCUGAAAUGAGCUUUCCCAAACGGUUAUCUGCUGUCUCAAGCUGCAUUUCCUCUGCCCUCCAGCUACAGGAGAUAGGAGCUAAAGGAGCAUAAUGGACUGCGAAGGAACCGCUGAAGCUGACUCCUGCAGUUUCUAACACAGUCUCCGUUGGGCUCAAACAGUGUUUUACAGCUUUUGGUGCUCAGGUAAUACCUGCCAAGUCGGUAACGUUCUCCUUUCACUGCUGAGAAAGAGCAAUUAAACUGCUGGCCCCAGUUCAGAGAGAUCUGUGCUUUUCUGUGGUUUCCCACUUGAAAAGUAUUUCCUAUGGCACAGCUACCACAGCACCUGUGGCAUCACAGGUAGCUUUGUGGAAGCACCCUUGUGCAUCUUUUCCAGUUAAUAAACAACGAGCUCAGUCUUAGAUGUGAAUAAAUCUGUAAAGUAAAG